rnacentral:lncRNA from 1 species
GGGGGCGUCCGUGUAGUUUCAUGCCUGCCUGCAUAGCCCAAAGUGUUGUUUAUUUUAAUGAAAGAUUUUGACCGGCUUUGGUGAGUCUAGAUUAAAGGCGGAAAACCCAAUAGGGGGCCAACUAUAUAUUUCUCUUUUUUUUUUGGAAAAGGAGGGCAACUAAUGUUGGAUUAUAGAUGGACAUAGGCCCAUAUAAGACAAUAAUCUUAAUCAUGUGAAUAUACG